UAGGGAAUCUUCGGCAAUGGGGGGAACCCUGACCGAGCAACGCCGCGUGAGUGAAGAAGGUUUUCGGCUCGUAAAGCUCUGUUGUUAAGGAAGAACGAGUGUGAGAAUGGAAAGUUCAUACUGUGACGGUACUUAACCAGAAAGGGACGGCUAACUACGUGCCAGCAGCCGCGGUAAUACGUAGGUCCCGAGCGUUGUCCGGAUUUAUUGGGCGUAAAGCGAGCGCAGGCGGUUAGAUAAGUCUGAAGUUAAAGGCAGUGGCUCAACCAUUGUAGGCUUUGGAAACUGUUUAACUUGAGUGCAGAAGGGGAGAGUGGAAUUCGAUGUGUAGCGGUGAAAUGCGUAGAUAUAUGGAGGAACACCGGUGGCGAAAGCGGCUCUCUGGUCUGUAACUGAAGCAGAGGCUCGAAAGCGUGGGGAGCGAACAGG
rnacentral:rRNA from 1 species